AUUGAACGCUGGCGGCAUGCCUUACACAUGCAAGCCGAACGGUAACAGGUCUUCGGACGCUGACGAGUGGCGAACGGGUGAGUAAUACAUCGGAACGUGCCCAGUCGUGGGGGAUAACUACUCGAAAGAGUAGCUAAUACCGCAUACGAUCUGAGGAUGAAAGCGGGGGACCUUCGGGCCUCGCGCGAUUGGAGCGGCCGAUGGCAGAUUAGGUAGUUGGUGGGAUAAAAGCUUACCAAGCCGACGAUCUGUAGCUGGUCUGAGAGGACGACCAGCCACACUGGGACUGAGACACGGCCCAGACUCCUACGGGAGGCAGCAGUGGGGAAUUUUGGACAAUGGGCGAAAGCCUGAUCCAGCAAUGCCGCGUGCAGGAUGAAGGCCUUCGGGUUGUAAACUGCUUUUGUACGGAACGAAAAAGCUCCUUCUAAUACAGGGGGCCCAUGACGGUACCGUAAGAAUAAGCACCGGCUAACUACGUGCCAGCAGCCGCCGUAAUAC
rnacentral:rRNA from 1 species